CAGCAGCCGCGGUAAUACAGAGGAUGCAAGCGUUAUCCGGAAUUAUUGGGCGUAAAGGGCUCGCAGGCGGUUUCUUAAGUCUGAUGUGAAAGCCCCCGGCUCAACCGGGGAGGGUCAUUGGAAACUGGGAAACUUGAGUGCAGAAGAGGAGAGUGGAAUUCCACGUGUAGCGGUGAAAUGCGUAGAGAUGUGGAGGAACACCAGUGGCGAAGGCGACUCUCUGGUCUGUAACUGACGCUGAGGAGCGAAAGCGUGGGGAGCGAACAGGAUUAGAUACCCGUGUAGUCCCUGUCUCUUAUAC
rnacentral:rRNA from 1 species